GGAAUUUAUAAAUAAAACUGUCGCUAAAGGGCUAUAGCGACACUUUCUGUCGCUAUAGGUGUUCUUGAGGAUUUCCAGAAACAUAAACCAGUGUGCUAGAGGGGUGGUUUGACCAUGUAUAAAUUUCUGUACAAAAUAUUUCUAGGCGAUCUAACACAUACAUCUUGUAGUACUCAUGUAACACUACAAUUACCAACAAACAUCAUGGCUUAAAAACAAUAGAUCUGGGAGAUAUUGGCCAUCAAAGUAGCUGUCAGAACUGUUCUUCACGAAGAACAGUUCGAGGUGCCUACUUUGGACCCCUAUAACUUGAUGAUCGUGUAACCUAUUUGUGAUAUAUCACUUCCAGUGUGUAGACAUAAUGUAGGACUACAACUAUAAAGCUUCAUAACAUAUUAACAUCAAAACAUGAGCAAGAUAUUUCCGGUCAAACAUGAACACGGAAGUUGCUAAAAAAAAAAUUUGGGUUCGUGUUCUUGAGCAGUUUCGGUCAAUGGGUUUUGACCAUGAAUAACUCCCGAUCUAUAACAGAUAUUAACUUG
rnacentral:lncRNA from 1 species